AAUUUCAAACAACUAUAGCUGCUCACAAAAAAUGAAAUUUUUGGGAAAAAAAUUCGAAAAUUAAAUUUCAAAUAUUAAAUUUUUCGGAGAAAAAUUUAAUAUUUGAAAUUACUUUGGGAGGACUACAGCCGCGCCGAAAACCCUCCCCCUGCGUACGCCCCUAGUAUCCAAAAAUUGUGUUUUUUUAUAUACUUCGGAUAUAAGAAAAAUCCGGAUAUAGUCAACUUUUCAUCUGAAAAUAUCAGUUUCUUUUAUCAGGAUUUGACUGGUUUAAUAAAUUAUGAUAACGGUCACUUCAUAAAUUUAUAAUAAAAAAAGUCAUCCGACGGGAUUUAAAAAGGGGACAUGUCCUGGCAAAAGAGAACGAGUCUACACACAAUUAAGGCACUACUAAGAUUAACAACAUUUAAUAUAUUAAAAUGACAUAAUAAUGACAUUCAGGAGCUUACCUUUAAAUUUCCGAAUCUUUUCGUUGGGAUUCCAUGUGGUAAAGAGAUUAGAAAUACUAGAAGAAGGAAACUCUUCCGAGACGUUAUUAUUCGUUGUUGAUGAGGAUGUUGCUGACUGAGGAGGAUAGAGAAGAUCCUGGGACAAAGAAGACCAGGAACGAAACCAAUCAAAUGUCUUUUUGUGACUAGUAUUCGGUGGAGCACUCAAUGGAACAUCUUGAUCCA
rnacentral:lncRNA from 1 species